rnacentral:rRNA from 1 species
GGAAUAUUGCACAAUGGAGGAAACUCUGAUGCAGCGAUGCCGCGUGAGGGAAGAAGGUUUUCGGAUUGUAAACCUCUGUAGUACGGGACGAAAAAAAUGACGGUACCGUACAAGAAAGCUCCGGCUAACUACGUGCCAGCAGCCGCGGUAAUACGUAGGGAGCGAGCGUUGUCCGGAAUUACUGGGUGUAAAGGGAGAGUAGGCGGGAAUUCAAGUUAGGUGUGAAAGGUGAGGGCUCAACCCUCAAACUGCACUUAAAACUGAGUUUCUUGAGAGAUGAAGAGGCAGGCGGAAUUCCCGGUGUAGCGGUGAAAUGCGUAGAUAUCGGGAGGAACAUCGGUGGCGAAGGCGGCCUGCUGGGCAUCAACUGACGCUGAGGCUCGAAAGCGUGGGGAGCAAACA